UGCUGAAAUGACUUUCAUUGGAUGGUGAUCCCAUGAUCCUGGAACACUGGAGCCGUCAGAAAUAGGAGUUGGUUGCCAAGUAUCUGAAAGUUGAUCAUGUG